rnacentral:rRNA from 1 species
AAACGACUCUCGGCAACGGAUAUCCUGGCUCUCGCAUCGAUGAAGAACGUAGCGAAAUGCGAUACUUGGUGUGAAUUGCAGAAUCCCGUGAACCAUUGAGUCUUUGAACGCAAGUUGCGCCCGAAGCCACUAGGCUGAGGGCACGUCUGCCUGGGUGUCACGC